rnacentral:lncRNA from 1 species
GGGCGUUGGAUCAGCGACGGCAGCGGGAGCGACGGUCGUACCUUGCGCGCGGGAAGCACGCGAAGUUCCAGCAGAACCCGACGUGUCAGGAUAGGCGACGAGGGGAAGCUCCGCGACAAUGUCGUUACAGAUAAUCCGGUUGAGGCGGCGGUGGACGUCGAUCAACACGGCGUUAAGGCGCUGAGUCUCGGCCACGGCGACACUGUUGGGGACACCAGUAGGCGACAGCAGGCACAGGGCCCAGGUAGCGUGUUGAGCCUGCACUUCGCGGCCAUACUCCUCAAGGAUGUCUCGAGCACUCAUAGCGGAAAAGAGAGGGGAUGUGGAAAAUAAGGCUCUCAGGCAGCCUAUUUAUAGAGAAGCGAAGAAGGAGGGGCCCGAGAACCAAGGAGCUUUAAUGAGAGUUGGUGGGGGUCGAAAGGGGGGUGGACGGCCCCAGGCCCCCGGGCCCGCUAAGGAAGGGGGGAGUACUGUUGGUACCAUGGACCGCGGACCGCGGCCCAUGGACCGAACCGGACCAGACGGCCCAGACGGAC